CCGAGAACACCUCUCUCUGGGGCAGCUCUGUCCUCAGGGUCUCGCCGCGGAUCACGUACGCCUGGGAUAUAUAGGGCACAUUCCACACGCCCCUGGAGGCACCCGCACCGGGGUCAGUUCCACGUAGUCCUCGGACCGAGCGUAGUACUCGUCAGGGCUCAGGGCUCCCCAGAAGUUGGACCACAGCUUCCCGUGGCGGGACAGCAUGGGCGCUAUCACCUUCCUGUGGAUGGGCAGAGGAUGCGCAGGGUCUGCUGGUUGGUGAUGACGGCGUCAGCAUCCAGGCUGAAGUAGAAUUCGCACUCGGGGUCCUGCCGACAGCUGUCCCUGGAGGAUUGUUGGGUUAAACGAAAUUACAGAAGUAGAGCCCCGACCCAGAGCCUUGGCACAAACCUUGGGCACUCUGCCACUCACCACCAGAGUUGAGGAAGCGCUUCCCCGUGCCCACCUCAGGGUACUGCUCCGCCAGCCCCCACUCGGGCCAGCAGAAGCCCUCGGCAGAGAAGAGCAGGCGGCUCCCACUCUGGACGAACUUCUUCAGCAGCUCGGAGGGGCUGCCAGCCAGAAUCACGUCGUAGCUGGGCGAAGAAGAGGGGCCUGAGCAGGACAGCCACUAGGAACCUCGGAAACGCCGGUAUCCUUCCGUCUUGGCUGUGGCCACCGUGAUCACCAGCAGCUUCUCUGUCACCAGCCGGGAAUUGGCGCUCGGGACCCGCUCACCCAGCUCACUGCCCCACGAGUUCCGCUCACCGCAGGCCCCCUUGCCCUCCCUCCGACUCUGCCCCUGUCCUCCUAUUAUUUUUAUUUUUAUUUUUCCGAUUCCCUCUUAAACUCUUCUCAACCAAAA